UGGGGAAUUUUGGACAAUGGGGGAAACCCUGAUCCAGCCAUCCCGCGUGUGCGAUGAAGGCCUUCGGGUUGUAAAGCACUUUUGGCAGGAAAGAAACGUCAUGGGUUAAUACCCCGUGAAACUGACGGUACCCGCAGAAUAAGCACCGGCUAACUACGUGCCAGCAGCCGCGGUAAUACGUGGGGUGCAAGCGUUAAUCGGAAUUACUGGGCGUAAAGCGUGCGCAGGCGGUUCGGAAAGAAAGAUGUGAAAUCCCAGAGCUCAACUUUGGAUCUGCAUUUUUAACUACCGGGCUAGAGGGUGUCAGAGGGAGGUGGAAUUCCGCGUGUAGCAGUGAAAUGCGUAGAUAUGCGGAGGAACACCGAUGGCGAAGGCAGCCUCCUGGGAUAACACUGACGCUCAUGCACGAAAGCGUGGGGAGCAAACAGG
rnacentral:rRNA from 1 species